AUUGAACGCUGGCGGCAGGCCUAACACAUGCAAGUCGAGCGAGCGGCGGACGGGUGAGUAAUGUAUGGGGACUGCCCGCUAGAGGGGGAUAACUACUGGAAACGGUAGCUAAUACCGCAUACUAUCGGAUAACCCAUAUGGGAUUAGCUAGUAGGUGAGGUAAUGGCUCACCGAGGCGACGAGCCCUAGCUGGUCGGAGAGGAUGAUCAGCCACACUGUGACUGAGAGACUGCCCAGACUCCUACGGAGGCAGCAGGGGGGCAUUUGGCACAAUGGGCUCAAGCCCGAUGCAGCCAUGCCGCGUGUAUGAAGAAGGCCCUAGGGUUGUAAAGUACUUUCAGUCGGGCGGCGUUACCGACAGAAGAAGCACCGGCUAACUCCGUGCCAGCAGCCGCGGUAAUUC
rnacentral:rRNA from 1 species